rnacentral:lncRNA from 1 species
AAGAGGGUGAAUUGGACAGCUUUACAGAUGCCUCAUGUUAGGAAAUUUUCCUGGAUUUGAGUCUUCAAUGUGGGAGCAGAGUUACCUGAAUAUAUGGAGUUGAUGGAGACAUUCCUUGAUGAGAAGCAGAAAUUCCCCAGGGACCUUGUAAAUCUGAAGCAGAUAAAGGGAAAUGAAGAAACCAAGUUUUACAACUUUGAUGAGUGGCAAAAUUUGUCAAUAAGAGCUAGAUAUUAAGUAAUUAGCUUUUAGGAAGCAAAGUGUAUUGGACUUGGCUAUGAUAUGAAGGAAUUCAUUUAAUAAAUCAAAACGAAAACAAAAACAACAAAAACAAAGAAGCGAAGCAUGAAUCUCCUAAUCAGCAGAAAAGGGAGGACAGCCGGAGACAAUCGUAUUCCUGAUCGAUACUGAUGUAAACUUGUGCUGGAACAAUGGGACCAUCUCGUUGCAGGAAAACAAGCUCAGGGCUCCCACUGAUUCUACAUUAUGGCAACAGAUGACUUUCUGCAAAGGCACUGAUAAUAGCUAUGAGGAAUAAAUAUUGCAGAUGGAUUAAAUCAAAGAAUCAAAUUUCAAAGCCAAAUUAGUCGUGAAAAGGAGGGAGAAGCAGAAAUGAAGAAAAAAGAACCACAGAAGUAAAAUCAGCAGCAUUGAAAAGAAAAUCAUCUGCUGUUUGAAUAAAGACCCAAGAUCUUUCAUUGUUGGAUCCCCAAAGCCAGUGCCUUUUUUGAGCAGCAAGUCCCAAGAUCAAGAAAUCAGAAGGAACUAAUACUUUAACUAAUUAGUAGUAAUGAAAAUUUACUAGACAUCAAUGACAAAUUUACAAGGCAAAUUUAUUUCCAAAGUACAUUCAUAUAUAUCACAGGUAAAAUGAGGUUUUCACAAACACCAUUUUAAACAUAGGGUUUAUUUGCAGGAGCUAUUUUUGUGGCUUAGGGAACAAAUGGUUCAUUGAAACAGAACUUUGCUGGUCUGGUUUCAAAGAAUUCUAUUAUAUAAAAGAUUCUGUAGAACAGAUGGGAUCAAAAGUCCCUGAACACAGAACAGGAAUAUCAGGUAAUGAAAAUGUUCUUUUGGUAUAGUAUUAUGUUUUAUGCUUUGAAAGUAUUAGUAUGCAAGGAACUCAGGCAAGAGCAUAAAAGAGGAAGUAGGAAUAAUACUUUAUGUUUGAAUAGGCUUUAGACUUUCCAAAAUACUUACAUCCUACUGAAGCUUGGUAGCAAGUAUUAUCCUUGUUUUAUUGAUGAAAAACAUGCUUCCAAGAAAGAUGCAUUACAAGCGACAGAAAACUCAAAGUGGAUUACACAGUAAAAGGUAUCUGUCUCUCUGUCUGUCUCUGUCUCUGUGUUUUGGCUCACAGAAUUGAAAAGUUCAGGACUAGAGUGAGCUUUCAAUGUGCCUUGAAAGAGAUGUUCGAUUGAUACCAUCAGGGCCCAGAUUCCCUUGACAUCUCUUAGUUCUGUUUUCCUAGUAUGUGGUUAACUCUGAUUAGCCAGGAUGGAGACAAUAACUCCUGAGCUAAAUAUGUGGAGUGGGGCAAGGAUGGCCCUCUACAGGCGAAGGUGGGGGUGCAUUUUAAUAUGAGUAUGGGGGAAAGGAUCAGAUCUGGGCUAGAUCUGAUAUUCAAGAGGUGUAAACAGAUGACCAACAAGAUGUUAACAAGAUGACACGAUUAGAAAGAUUUUAAUCAAGCCUAGAACCCAGCUCCUCUGAAUCCUGGCAAAACAUAGGUAGGAACAAAACUGGGAAACAAGACAAGGGAUGUCCCAGGAGCUGAUGUUUCAGUAAGAGCAUAGUUGAGAAGAGACAGAAGAAAACAAUAGUUAACAGAGGUAGGUGGAUUUAGAAAGAAGGCUUUACUUUGAACAAGACUUGAUCCCAGUUGAGACUUUGCUGAAGGAAUCCCUAAUAGACAGACCUGAGCCACCUCCUUCCUUUGUCAUAUAUAUGUAUCUCAUAGGCAUCUUACAAAUAUGAUGACUGCUCUAUAAAUAACCGAGAAAUCUUAGUUUCUGGAUCUUACCCUGGCCCAACUCCAAAUUAUCUUCUUUGGUUUUAGCUGGAUCUUUAGGAAGACUGGUCUGCCUAAUUUUGUUGCAUCUCAUUGUGCCCUAUUUGCCAGGCCGCUUUGAUAAGGAGAUCUUCAUAUAAUUCCUUUCUGUGUUGCUGCCCUGUCUUCCAUGUUUAGAGUUCGAAUCCUCCUUUUCUAAUAGCUGAAACACACCCAGAUCAAAAUAAGCUUCAUUAAGGCGGCAUUCUACAAAGACAGUGGUUCUCCAAUGGUGGUCCUCAGAUUACCUGC